rnacentral:rRNA from 1 species
AGUGAACGCUGGCGGUAGGCCUAACACAUGCAAGUCGAACGGCAGCACAGUAAGAGCUUGCUCUUACGGGUGGCGAGUGGCGGACGGGUGAGGAAUACAUCGGAAUCUACUUUUUCGUGGGGGAUAACGUAGGGAAACUUACGCUAAUACCGCAUACGACCUACGGGUGAAAGCAGGGGAUCUUCGGACCUUGCGCGAUUGAAUGAGCCGAUGUCGGAUUAGCUAGUUGGCGGGGUAAAGGCCCACCAAGGCGACGAUCCGUAGCUGGUCUGAGAGGAUGAUCAGCCACACUGGAACUGAGACACGGUCCAGACGCCUACGGGAGGCAGCAGUGGGGAAUAUUGGACAGAGGGCGCAAGCCUGAUCCAGCCAUACCGCGUGGGUGAAGAAGGCCUUCGGGUUGUAAAGCCGUUUUGUUGGGAAAGAAAAGCAGCAGGUUAAUACCCCGCUGUUCUGACGGUACCCAAAGAAUAAGCACCGGCUAACUUCGUG